AAUUUCUAGAUUGAAGCAAAAACAAAAUUUACUUUCUAAAUAAUAUAUAUUUGUCUGGAAGCAAGCAGCCAUGUAGAGCAUAAAGAUUAACAAUUUAUAGUGGUCUAGUUGUGAAGAUCAUCCAACAAUUUGACAGUUUACCUUGAAUAUUAAUUACUGUGUGCAUGGACCAAGCAAGGUGCAAGGGUUGCCAUUCAUUUCAAACUCCCCAUAUUUAAGGAAAAAAAAAGUCUUUAUUCCUUCACCUGUGCAAUCAGCAGCCCUUAACAGACCAAAUUACUAAAAAUAUUUUUAUUAACCUAAAAGGCUGUGUUUUGUCAGAACUUCAUUGCUCCUAUCUAUAAUUAGGAGUUGUACGCACCUAGUACUAGCAACACUUGUCGCUUCUUUCUUAUAGACUCUAACUUUAUCAUGUGAAAAAGUAAUCCACAAAAACUAGAGGGGAAACGGCAACUUUCAACGAAGCAGGUAUUUUCCUGCUCUACACUGCUCAUCAUUCGAUACCAUGGGCUGCUAUGACUUCACCUGUGCAAUCAGCAGCCCUUAACAGACCAAAUUACUAAAAAUAUUUUUAUUAACCUAAAAGGCUGUGUUUUGUCAGAACUUCAUUGCUCCUAUCUAUAAUUAGGAGUUGUACGCACCUAGUACUAGCAACACUUGUCGCUUCUUUCUUAUAGACUCUAACAUUAUCAUGUGAAAAAGUAAUCCAAAAAAACUAGAGGGGAAAUGGCAACUUUCAACGAAGCAGGUAUUUUCCUGCUCUACACUGUUCAUCAUUCGAUACCAUGGGCUGCUAUGACUUCUUACAACUUAAAAUCUUUGAAGAUGCCCAGAGUGCGAAUUUGGUAGGUUUCCAACAAUCUAAUCGUCUUGAUAUUUAUUUAUCUUGGUAGGACCGACUAAUUUAUUCCCUCCUACUCCU
rnacentral:lncRNA from 1 species